GAGGCGUGACGCUCGCGUUGCCUCUUAUCUUCCUGCCCUUUUCCCCAUCCCUCACGUUGAUCGGGCUCCUCAUAGACGGGCGACGCACCCCGAGAGACCGCGGCGACCGGCGCGUGUUCUUGCGCCUGUGCGCUCGCAGUGAUACAGACCCCUCCACCACCAACACCAACACCAGCACCACCGGCACCAGCAGACGUGGAUAGCAUAGAAGAAUACGAGCGGAACGGAGCUGGCUCGCUCUCGGCCGCCCGUCCCCUUCUCUCUGGGGCCUUCACAUCCCCUCUUUCGCCAGCUCUCAUCAGCGAGCCAUCACUACACACAGACACCAUAACGACCUCCCCCCUCCUUCUCUCUCCCCUCCACACACACAGGGCCUGGGCGUGGGCGCUCUGUCACAUCCAAGAGCAGAUCUAUACACUUUCUAUGCAUACGCUUGCCUCAACGCCUCGCGCUAUUCGGCAGAGAGCCCCACCACCGCUGCGCGGCUGUCUUGGGCCUUCACACACACACACAAACACACACAGCCUCACACCGCUCGCCUGCAGCCGCUGCCGUCUUCCUCUCUGCCUGCCCGCCUUCUCUGUUCAGUGGCGCGUCGCACCGACGCAGCGCUGCUGAGGGCGAAGGGGCGCUCCUCAGUGCGCCUUGUAAGGCGCGGAAGCUGCCGUUGGCAGUGGCAGUGACAGAGCAAGCAAACGAAAGGAAGGGCGAAGCAAAAACGUGGGCGCGUGCGUUGCCGAGCACCGCACGCGGACAAGCUUCUCCCCUGCUCUUCUACUGUUUUGUUUGUUUGCUUGUGCACGUGUGUAUGCUCGCGUUGGGUGAUGAGGGAAACAGCGCCGCUGGCGGCACCGAGCUCACCGCCGAACAACGGAGACGCAUCGGCAGGUAUUGCAGGGGCGCCGCUAUCAGACGAACUUGCGGGGGCGGUGGUGACGGCCCACAAGCGCUGUGGUCUUCGUGCGGCAUCGCCGACUGCUGCCCCUGCUGACGCCAUCGCAGCGACAAGCGCUGCAGGGAGCCUUGCGUUCCCCCUACCUCUGUCUCGCAGCACCGCUCCUCAGCGCCUUGACGGUGGCGCACCUGAGACGCCGUCUUGGCGAAUAAGCUCUGAAGAGAGUCGCGGUUCCGCUCAGAAGGCCGAAGGUGGCAAUCUCCUGGAGCUCCCUAUCCGCGUGUCCUCGACGCAUGAAGACCUCGACGACGUCUCCACCGGCGUGGUCGCACCACCUUCGCCUGGCAUGUUCACCUGCGCGCAGAAGAAGGAGCCAGCAGCGCGCUCGCAGUCACUGGAUGCGCCGCUCGGCGAUGCGCUGUCGGUCAUUGAUAGCCCUAAAGUCGGGGACCUCGCGAGGGGCGGUGUGGCCGAGCGUGCCGACGCUGACGAGCACACACAAAUACCAUUAUUCCGCGUACUCUCGCUGCCACGCGGACUGAUUGGCGAUGAUGCGGCGCCGCGCACCAGACGUGCCGAGGUGUGGCAGCCGGCUGUGGAGGGUAGCGAGAGCAAAUCCAGCAUCGCGACGGCGCUGGCGUCGUCGGGAAGGGCGCUGCAGGAGACAGACAGCGACGACAAGGACGCGCCACCUCUGAGGCUCCACGGCCUCGUCGCACCGCGACUGUCGCCAGGGGGCAUACGAAGCGGGGGCCGCGGCGUCGAGGACUGCGGUGCCCCCGCUGCGUCGGCGGCGUCUACACCGUUGCUUCCCCUCUGUGCGUCUGUCAGUAGCGGCAGCAGCGUAUUCGUCAGCAGGCAGCUUCGCACCGAGCCGCUGAGUACGGCGCUGACCACACCCACCGACGCAGCAAUGGCAGCCUCCGCAGCCGCGCGCAGUCGGUCUGUAACCAGUGGCACACCGCUGCUUGACUCGUUCCGCAUCGUCCUCUCCCCAUGCCCCAGCAGCAUCGCGCCGUCCUUCUCCCUCGUGCCAUGCCCCACAGCAUCGCGGGCGUUGUCGCCUGUGUCGGUCUCAGCGCCAAUUGUGCAGCAGCGAUGGCGUGAUCAGGUCCGGGCUCGCACGAGGGUCGGCGUUGGGAGUGGGAGCGGCACCUCUCCCCUAACAUCCGCCACAUGUGCGCUGGACCCCGUUGGCGGGCAUGCUUUGUGGAUUCAGCCCCCGCCGCACCCGACCCAUGCAGCGGCGCGCUCGCGUUGCGGCAGCGCAGGCGGCGACGGUGACGGGGACGCGGCGUCUGUGACACCACUGCACGAGGGGGCACCGCCACCAUCGCGGCGGCCCGGUGGUAGGGGUGGCGCAAGUGAGAUUGCCGCGCCGAUGCCCCUUAGCUUCUCCUGCUUGGGUGCCGCGGCAAGCCUGUCAAAGGACGGGCCCGGGGUGAGGCGGGGGCGCGCCAGCCCACCACUAUGCGAUGCGUCACUGUGCAGCGGUCGCGACCACGCGGCCACGCUAUCGCUUCGCCUUUCCCUCCCCCAGCCAAGUUGCACCUCCCUCGACGCAGCGCCGCCGCCUGCACCCCAGCUGCAACAGCAUCCCGGCAGCGCCCACAACCCGCCUGCCUCGGCAAACGCCACCACACAGAGCCUGUCACGGGAUUCGCCUGCGGCACACGCAUCGUCGCCUCCAUCGCUGCCGCGGCAGACCGAGCCGCCUCGCUCGCUCCGUCCGGACCACGGCCAGCGUGACAGCGCCGGCAGCAGCGGCCUGCCACCGUGGCCUUCCCCGCCCGUGACGACGGCGCACCACCACGACAGCGGCUUCUGCACCUCUCCCACGGAUGCAGGAUCGCACUCCAGUAACGGCCGCCGGUUGCCCGCGCAACCCUUUGUUUUCUCGGCGUCGGCAUCGCAGCGCCGCCUCCAGCCCUCAGCGGUAACGGACUCGGUCACAUCGCCGUCUGCGUGCGCCGAGUGGCAGUCGCGCGCUCGGCUGUACCACGAAUCAAGGUACUUCGAGCCCCUCUGCGUACCGGGCGAAGCCGCGCCGAUGAGACGGUCGCCGCCGCUGCAGGCCGACUCCUUGGCAGACUUGGCCGGCCGGUGCGUUGCAGACGGCUCGACCCUGCUAGCGGCCACGUCGCUCGCACAAACCAAAGGGGAGGGCUUGGUGUCGACGUGCUCGACACCACCGCCAUCUCCGAUGGUGGCGCCGCCGCGGCCCUCGCUGUCGCUCACCUCACAGCACGUGCCAGGGCGCACUUCGUCGGUCGGAGGAGAAGAUGUGUGCCUAUGGAACGCGACGCCGGACAGCUCGCGAAGGAUGGCGCUGACAUCGACUAGUCUGCCACGUGGCAGCCCGUUGGCGCGAGCAGCAAGGGCAUCGGCGGCGUCUUCGUGGGCCCCGUCGCUCUGCUCGUCACCGACAGCAAUGGCAGACAUCGGCGGCUUGGGCAGCAAAGGCGGGAUGGCGCUUACGUGUGGCGGGGGCAGGAGACCCCACGGCUCUGCCGCGCUGCACGCGUCUCCUGCGGACGGAGACGGUCUCGUGCACUUUGGGGUGGAGUCGGAGCUCUGUGGGCUGCAGCGCAUUCGAGACGCGAACUCUUCCUCGCUGACCGGCGUGAGCAGCGCCGUCCCCGCGUCCACCGGGGUGGUUUUCGGGGGAAGUCAGCGAGCCGUUCCAUCCAUACUUCGCGUCGACAGCGAGAGUGGCGGAGCGGGUAGCAACGACUUGGGCAGCUUCAGCGACUAUGUGCCAUCCGCACUGCUACUGGCGCCACCUCCGCCGCUGGUAGCGCUGCCUGCAAGCCAGUGCCCCUCCUCAAGAGCCUCUCUGCGCAGCAGCGACUCAGCGCCCCCAGCGGCGGUCACCAGCACUGCGGUCACCAGAGCAACAGCCUCUGCCCAGUAUACCUCGCCGCUGCAGUGGCCCUCGCCGGUGCUGUGCACUCGUGAACGAAAUACCGUGCUGGCAGCUGCCGCGGCCACGAGCGAGGCUCUGGCCGAAGGCAACGACGUGGUAGCAGCGCUGGAGGAGGGCGAUGUUCAAGCAGACAUCUCGGCAGCACUUGACGCUUCUCUCGACGUCACCGCCGCUGCUGCCGAAGGCGUGACGGCACUGUCGCCCGCGCCGGUGCCUUCAGCGUCACCGGCUACGCAGUUUCGGUGCGCGUUUAGCUCGCUGCGCGGCUGCCGAAGUAGGCAAGAGGACAGCGUCAUGAUGGUGGCAGACCUGCCGGUGCGCGUGCGGAGAAGCACCACUGCAGCGCCGACCACUGCCACCGCUGCUGCCCCUCCUACUUCCACUGGAGCAGCCAGCGGAGCGAGUGCGCGAAGAGAAGCCGGGGCAGUGCGCGAAGACACAGAGUGGGCUGAUGCGGACUCGAUGCCAACACAGGAGGUGACGGCGACGGCGCGCCACGCCACGAAUGUGCGAGACGAGGUUGUCUUCGCCUGCUUUGGCGUCUUUGAUGGCCACUGCGGUGACACCGUGGCGUCCUUGGCCUCGCAGUUCUUUCCGGAGCACUUCGAGCACGCCCUGCAGGCUUAUCAGAGGCAGCUGGAGCAGGACCCACGAAAUGGCAGAGGCGCGUCUCGUGGCACCGACAGCUCCGCACAGCGGAGGAAGGGAGACCUUGGAAGCUGCAACGUAUGUCCCGAAGGGCCACGGGCGGAGCGGCUACGUGGCCAUCACGAGACAGCGCCGAUGGAGGCGGUCGAGUUUCAGCGGGUUGUAAGCGCUGCCCUUGUGCAGGCACUGUUGCACCUUGACCUGACGUUGUACGACCUCCUGCACCACGCUACACACGGCCUCUCUGCCCAGCGUCGUGACGCAGGGUCGACCGCGAGCGUGGCAACGUUUUUCAAGCUACCGACGACGUCUGCGCCGUGCCACGGCGGUGCAAGAGCGGUGGUGGGCAGCUGCACAAGCUGCACCCCGCCGUUGGCAACAGGUGCCGGUGAUGCGCCGUCAAACAGUGGUGGCUCUGCCGCCGCUUGCACACCUGCAACGCUGGAUGAGCCAAUGAAGCAAGGGGUGCCUGGCGAGGCGUCCACACCACUGAUGCCGGCCGCGCGCACAGAGGACACGUAUCGGCUCUGCAUCGCGAAUCUGGGUGAUAGCCGUGCCAUUAUCGGCAAUCUGCAGACGGGCGAGCUUCUGCUCAGCACCACUGACCACCGCAUCUCUGCCUACCCAUCCGAGGCAGCCCGGAUUCAGGCCGCCGGUGGCGUCGUGGAGCUUGGACGCGUCGACGGCAGCCUCGACGUGACGCGGGGUCUCGGGGACUACCGGUACAAGGUUGCACCGGCGCGGUGGUGGUCUUCCGCCGCCCCAGCGUCAGCGACCGCUGCGUCCGCAAGUGUGUCAUUGACGUCGCUCGCGGCCUCUGCUGUAGCAACCAACGCCGCCACCACGGCAACACUGACAGCGAUGGGGAGGAGCAGCUCCGCGACCGCCACCGCCACAUCGUCGUCAUCGCCAGUCAAGGUAGUCGCAGGGUCGGUGCCGCCCGCGAGUACGCCGCGACACAGCGAUGCCUCCGAAGGCGGCUCCGCGGUGCGGGGACUGCGCUGGCAGUCGUGCUCGAGUACACCACUUCGGAGUCCGACGGGUGACAACAUGGACGGCGGCGCCGCUUCAAGGGCCAAUUUUUCGCGUGCUAGCAAUGCACGCUGCACUGAUGGCGAGGCGAAACAGGUGCCUGCAUCCCCAUCACAAGGGCCGCUUCUAUCCAGCGCUGCAGAAAGUGGAGCCUAUGCACAUGCGGUGCAGGAACAGCGCCGGCAGCAGGUGCCGUCCCCAAGCCCCUCGUCGCCCAUCUCGCCGCCAUCGCUGUUCUCCUCGUGGUCUCCGCUGGCGUCGGCAUCGGCUGUCACGCUGACACACAACGCCGUGAGCAACAUCGCCGACGUGUACGAGUGGGAGGUGCGCCGUGGCGAGGUGCUGAUCAUGGCCUCCGACGGCGUCUGGGACCGCAUGACGUCCGAGGACGUGCUCGCCUUCGUGUGCCAUGAGUUGGCAGCGGCACAGGAGCAGUCCAAGGGGGGUGCGACACGGAUGAUGCGCAGCGACGGUGCUGCAGUGAAAGCGUCCGAUGACGCGGGGAUGGGGGCGAGGGAGUCGCCAGGGGUCGGUGAGGCGGAUGCAGAGGCAUCCAACACAGCUGAGGUACCACUGCUGUUCCUCCGCGAGGCGCUCGAACGGACUCCGCUGCGGCAACCGUCACCGUUCGACGAGCAAGUGUGUGCGAGUGCUCGCUUCUCCCCCGCUGCCCCGCUCUGCACGCCAGGCGGCAACGGAGCUGCCGUGUCUGACCAACACGACGACGAAGCGGCGGAUUCGUUGUCGAGCACGACCGGCAGCGCGCCGUGCUUCUUCGCUGUGCAGGCGGCAGCGCGGCGGUUGACGGAGCACGUCGUGAACAACCUCUCUGGCAGCGACAACACCUCCGUCGUGGUGAUAACGUUUGACUGAGAAGCGGCGGGCGGGAACACCCAAGCGACGUGCGUGUGAUGUCGGCUUUGCGGUAGGCGGGUGGGCGGCGGGGGCGGUAGAUUGUGGUGGGCUGCGGUGGCCUCCAUGGAGCUGCACUCCGCCGGCCCCUCGUACCCGAGGCUACGCGGGCGGCGCGUACGAGGAUACUCUUCGUUUCUCCCCCUCCCCUCCCUCCCUUUCUGUUGAACGCACGCACGCACACACACACACACAAACACACACACACACGCACGCACGCACGCACGCACGCACGCACGCACGCGCACCCGUACAUGGAGAUGCUCAUGCCGCCCGCAAGCCUGCGCAGCGAAGGAUAACACAACACACACAAAGCCUAAGGGUGGUGAUGCAGGCGGCGCGUCAGGGCUGGGAGAGGAUCAGCUUCGUCUCCGUCGUCUCCCGCAGCGCGCAAUAUCCGAAGGCGGAUGGGAUGGACACGCGUGUGACCGUGCUGAAACGGAAGACGUCAGGGGGACAAGGACGCGCUGCACGCAAAGGAGGGGCGGGGCGAAGGGGGAGGUGUGUGUGCCUGCUGCAUGCCUUUUCCUAUGCGCACGGGCGCGUCUGAGCGCACGGUGCCGCCCACGGUUACGACUCGCAAGGAGGGUCUUGACAUGAGGGCUAUCACCGACCACGCCACGCACCGGUCUCACGGUUUGUCUUACACUCUCUCUCCCCCUCUCCCACUCCGCCUUCUCCUUCACGUCGAUACUCUGUGCAG
rnacentral:misc_RNA from 1 species